GGCAAGAAAAAAAGUUUUAAGGUAAAUUAUAGAGGCUUACAAUUACAACUCAAACUCCAGAAGAAAGAGCACCAGAGUUACUACAAAUUUAAAAGCGUAAAUAUGUUGGCGAAGAACAUGCCUAAAAAAUGCCAUAAAGUAAAAUAGGAAUGUUAACAAAACUCAUUUUUCAACACUCUUUCUAGCACUCACUCUUUUAUUGGAUAAAAUUAAUGUUUGUCUCACCGCUUUGUGUGAGUUCAAUUUUCAAAGUGUAGAUACACAAUGAUUUAAACCAAUAAGAAAGUGAGUAUUAGAGAGGGUGUUCAAAAGAGAAUGUUGCUAGCGUUACUCAAAGAAAAAUAUCCAAAAGAUAUCAUAGAAGCUUUGCUGGUCCUGUGAGGAAACUUAUCUUGCAGAUUGAAUCCCUCCUCUACAAGAUCAAGACAAUCAGGCUCCAAUAAAACGUUGCUUUUAUCCAAGUUAGAAGCUAAGCUAGCAACACAAAAAUUGGUUCCGCUAUCAAAACAGAGGUGGUGAGGAUGUGUCAUGUCACAUGUGUGUCGAGAAUUUGUACAACAAUUUUAGUCAAAAAAAAAAUUGUACAACAAAAAACAAGAAGAUUUUGUUUAUAUAUCAAGUAUGAAUAAGCGUCUCAAGAUAGAUUUUGUCCAUGUAUUUUUGUUAAUUGAUCUUCCACUCUAGUAAAAAAGGGGAAGAUGUGAGAAAUUUGUCAAUUUUAUGGAAGUAUAAAAAUGCGGAAUGGUUGUCAAUUUCUAAAAACUCUACUAUUGAAUUUCUUGUAAGCUUGUAGCAAGAUCACUGAUGCCUGGAUGAGAGGAUAAUAAAACUUUGAAUUUCUUUCCUAGAAGAAUGACAAUGAAAUUGCAGGGCAUCAUAUGCAACGCAUACUCAGAAAAACAACAUAUCAAAAGAUAAACAAAAUGAAGUGUGAAAAGGUUGCAGUCACUACUACCAACCAACCAAUAGAGGUAACAAGAUAUACGUGAGGAAAAAAUUUGAAUGAGUAAAGCAAAUCCACAUAAAACAGUGACCAGGAGUCUGAACUUGAAUAUCGAUUCAUUUAUUUUUUGAAUGAUAAACGUUAGUAGUUAGUUGUUAGAUUAAUUUUUUCUUCUAUGUCUGGGUUUGAAAAUCGAUUUGAUAAGAAUGUAAAUGAAACAAUAAUUAAUCAACAUAAAAACAUAAACUAGCAUUGAUGCAUAUCCUUUGUCAAGAAAUAAUAAAACAUAAAGACUAUGCUUACUCUCUGACUUUCAUAGAGCACAUCUAGAGCACUGGUAAUACAUUGCAACAAUAUUCUUGCUGUUAAUUUCUCUCCAAACAAGCAGAACUGUUUUUACUAAAAGCAUUUUGAUAUUAAAUAUGUUUGUUAGGGAGAAAUCUCUGGAGUUUCAAACUGGAAUCAAGCAUCUAGCUAAAUGAUCAUUAAAUAUGUUUGUUAGAGCGAAAAUUCUGGAGUUUCAAACUUGUAUCGAGCAUCUAGCUAAAUUAUCAGAUCCAAUAACUAAAGGCUCCUCUUGAAACUUUUCAUAAUCCACAACUCAUUCAGGUUUAGUUAACUCUUUCAAUGAUUUAGAUCAAAGCUAGAAUAAAAUUGUAUAUCUGCUUAUUGUUAUUGUCAUUCAUAUGAAAUAAGUAUGAGAUCAUGCCACUUUUACUGAUCUAGGUUUAUAGAAUUUUAGAUAAUUCCAUCAAUACCAUCUAAUACAAUGAAAUGUAUAGUUGAAUGUCAGAUAGAACAAUCCAUGCACCAGCAGAAAACAAAUGCAGCAAUGAAAAGAAGUAUGAACACAAAUUUAGCAUGUUUAAUAACAAAGAAAAAAUGUAGUUGUUUAGUUUUUCAAAGUUAAACCAGUAAAGCCAUCAGCUUUGAUAGCAUCAAGGAAGCUAAAUUCAUUGUCUAAUCAUAAAAUACGAGACACUGAAUCAGCAUACAUGAGACAAACGUCAAUCUCAGACCAAUAGACAACUAUAAUCUAUCUAUAUUCUAUAAUCAAAAUCAAGUUCAAACCUUGUGGAUUAAAAAAAAGUAGUUAGGAGGAAAAACCACACUAAACCUAGUGGCUGUUUGGUUUGGCUUGGUGCACCGCUUAAACAAACACAGCACUAGUCAACUAGGUUUUUAGGUAAAGAGUGAUGAGUAAUUCUGACCAAUAAUAUGAUUAAAAAGAAAAACUUACACGGCAAAAAAGAUAUCUCAUCUACAAGAUCAAAACAAUCAGGCUCCAACAAUACACUGCCCCCUCUGCAAGUUACAAGCUAAGCUAGCAACACGAUAAUCACAUCCUCCGUCAAAACAGAGGUGGUGAGGGUGUGUUGAGAAUUUGAACCACCAAAAAGGAGAAGGUUUUGUUCGUAUAUUAAGUGAGUAACUGUGUCUCGACAUAGAUAAAAAAGUGAAUGUUGGAGAAAUUAGUAAAUUUUAUGAAAAUGUAUAAAAUAAAAAAAAUGUAAAGG
rnacentral:lncRNA from 1 species